AACGAACGCUGGCGGCAUGCCUAACACAUGCAAGUCGAACGAGACCUUCGGGUCUAGUGGCGCACGGGUGCGUAACGCGUGGGAAUCUGCCCUGGGGUACGGAAUAACAGUGAGAAAUUACUGCUAAUACCGUAUGAUGACGUAAGUCCAAAGAUUUAUCGCCCUGGGAUGAGCCCGCGUAGGAUUAGCUUGUUGGUGAGGUAAAAGCUCACCAAGGCGACGAUCCUUAGCUGGUCUGAGAGGAUGAUCAGCCACACUGGGACUGAGACACGGCCCAGACUCCUACGGGAGGCAGCAGUGGGGAAUAUUGGACAAUGGGCGAAAGCCUGAUCCAGCAAUGCCGCGUGAGUGAUGAAGGCCUUCGGGUUGUAAACCUCUGUCAUGGGGGAAGAAGUAAGUGACGGUACCCCAAGAGGAAGCCCCUGCUAACUACGUCCAGCAGCCGCGUAAACAUACUCGUA
rnacentral:rRNA from 1 species